rnacentral:tRNA from 1 species
GUUGUAGGCAAUGAAAGAACGACAUCGAAGACAAAAUCCUGUUGGGUCUGUAGCUCAGGUGGUUAGAGCGCACCCCU